rnacentral:rRNA from 1 species
GCUUCCGGUCGGCUUACCAUGCAAGUCGAGGGGUAACAGGAGUAGCUUGCUACUUGCUGACGACCGGCGCACGGGUGCGUAACGCGUAUACAAUCUACCUUAUACUGAAGAAUAGCCCAGAGAAAUUUGGAUUAAUGCUUCAUAAUAUUUUAAAACCGCAUGGUUUUAAUCUUAAAGCUCCGGCGGUAUAAGAUGAGUAUGCGUGAUAUUAGUUAGUUGGUGAGGUAACGGCUCACCAAGACAACGAUAUCUAGGGGGUCUGAGAGGACUAUCCCCCACACUGGUACUGAGACACGGACCAGACUCCUACGGGAGGCAGCAGUGAGGAAUAUUGGGCAAUGGAGGCAACUCUGACCCAGCCAUGCCGCGUGAAGGAAGAAGGUCUUAUGGAUUGUAAACUUCUUUUAUUUGGGAAGAAACCUAUCUACGUGUAGAUAGCUGACGGUACCAAACGAAUAAGGACCGGCUAACUCCGUGCCAGCAGCCGCGGUAAUACGGAGGGUCCAAGCGUUAUCCGGAAUCAUUGGGUUUAAAGGGUGCGCAGGCGGUUUAUUAAGUCAGUGGUGAAAUCUCGGGGCUCAACUCCGAAACUGCCAUUGAUACUGAUAAACUUGAGUUCAGUUGGAGUAGGCGGAAUGUGUAGUGUAGCGGUGAAAUGCUUAGAUAUUACACAGAACACCGAUAGCGAAGGCAGCUUACUAAACUGAUACUGACGCUGAGGCACGAAAGCGUGGGGAGCGAACAGGAUUAGAUACCCUGGUAGUCCACGCCGUAACUAUGAUUACUCGAUAUUGGCGAUAUACAGUCAGUGUCUAAGCGAAAGUGAUAAGUAAUCCACCUGGGGGAGUACGGUCGCAGAUUGAAACUCAAGGAAUUGACGGGGGCCGGCACAGCGGUGGA